rnacentral:rRNA from 1 species
GCCUACGGGGGGCAGCAGUGGGGAAUAUUGCACAAUGGGGGAAACCCUGAUGCAGCGAUGCCGCGUGGAGGAAGAAGGUUUUCGGAUUGUAAACUCCUUUUAUCAGGGACGAUAAUGACGGUACCUGAAGAAAAAGCUCCGGCUAACUACGUGCCAGCAGCCGCGGUAAUACGUAGGGAGCGAGCGUUGUCCGGAUUUACUGGGUGUAAAGGGAGCGUAGACGGCAGCGCAAGUCUGGAGUGAAAUGCCGGGGCCCAACCCCGGAACUGCUCUGGAAACUGUGAAGCUGGAGUGCAGGAGAGGUA